UCGAAACCUGCCCAGCAGAGCGACCCGUGAACUCGUUCAACCUCGUGGGUGUUGGGGCGUUGUUGGUACCUUGUGUGCCUGCUCGUCCCUAUCCUAUGCCGGGGUGCGCGCUCACUUGUGAGCCGUUCCCCUGGCAAAACAACGAACCCCGACGCGUAAUGCGUCAAGGAACAAUAACUUUAUGUGUGUGCUCUUCAGUAGCCCGGUUAGCCGUGCGCUGGAGAUGUGCCAUGUCUUAACAAUA
rnacentral:rRNA from 1 species